rnacentral:rRNA from 1 species
AUUGAACGCUGGCGGCAGGCCUAACACAUGCAAGUCGAACGGAGUGGCGUACGGGUGAGUAAUGUCUGGGACACUGCCUGAUGGAGGGGGAUAACUACUGGAAACGGUAGCUAAUACCGCAUACUAGCAGAUGAUCCUAGGUCGGAUUAGCGAGUUGGUGGGGUAAAGGCCUACCAAGGCGACGAUCCGUAACUGGUCUGCGAGGAUGAUCAGUCACACUGGAACUGAGACACGGUCCAGACUCCUACGGGAGGCAGCAGUGGGGAAUAUUGGACAAUGGGCGAAAGCCUGAUCCAGCCAUGCCGCGUGUGUGAAGAAGGUCUUCGGAUUGUAAAGCACUGUAAGUUGGGAGGCGUUACCAACAGAAGAAGCACCGGCUAACUUCGUGCCAGCAGCCGCGGUAAUUC